CUAGGCAGCAGGCGCUAGCCAGGCACUGCCUCUCAUUACUCCAGGAUGAGAUGGACCAAUCAGCUCGCAGAGUGGUGGAGGAGAUGGUCCUAUGAGCUGUCAGACAACAGGCUGUCCAGCUGCCAGCCUCGGGACACGGGAGGGACAGGAAACGCCAGGGAUCACCAGGAAGUAAUGCUCACCCUAUUUCCCUUCCGGACUGGAAGACAGAACCAGACUCCCAACCCCCUUGUGUCCUGUCCAGAUGUGCGUGUCCUAAAUGGCACCUUAUGCCCUAGAUUAUGCCCUAAACACCCUUCACCAGAGAACAACAGGGCACAUUGACCAUGGACAGAAGGGCGAUAUUUGAGGACAAUGGCAUCAUUGGGGAACCCCAUAGCUUUGGAGGAACCUGUCCAGCCAUUCUAAAGGCGAGGUAUAUGUUUAGGUCUUAGAAGUAUAGAGUGAAAGCCUGUCAUGUUUGUAUGUCUAUGUGGAAACAUCAUGGCUGCUCACUGUUUAGUCUAAGACUGGGAUUUCUAAGAGUUUACAGUGGAAAUACCACCAGACAACACGUUUCCAUAAUAAACCUCUUACCUCACGGACUAAUGCAGGGUGUUUUUAACGGGAAAGUCUGUUCUUACGGCAUCGGUAAUUACAUGCAUUUAUACUAAAAUGAAUGAUGUUAGCGAACUGCUUGUUAGGUUGUCAGACACUUCUUAGGAUUGUAGACUUGUAAUGUAUCUUUUCUACACUUGACCACGUGUCUUUCAAUAAAACACAGUAAAACAGUGGAAGUCCUUUUCAUGAUGUUGUAACAAGUGUUUUCAUUGGGGAGGAAAUGGUUUCCAUCCUGCAGGGCAGCUAAACAAUAUCCAUCCUAUAGCACCAAUCCAUUUGUAAUGCUGAAUGGUUACAGACUGCAUCGUAGACAUGUAAUGCUGACAUACACGUUGUUUAUUGUGAAUACAAGGUGUUGACGUGAGAAUACGACUUAAAAGUUCACCAUGUUGAUGCAGACUUAAUGAAGCCCCUAUUAUCAUUAUUGAGCAUGUAUUUUCCUUCAUGCAUUUUUUCUGAUUUAUUGGACUGGAAAGAGGUGAGGGAUUUUGCUGAAAGAGCCUGGUGUUGACUUAAGUGUGAAAGUCAGUCAGUGUACAGAAUGAAAAGACAGACUCCAACCAGUUGUUUAAUCAGAUAGCAUUAACAAAUCAGACCCACCCGCCCAAGUUGACUUCACAGUUCAUUAGUGUUAAACAGUACUGAUUAGGUGAUGCAGACAUUCUGCAGAACAGUCCAUAACAGGUGUUCCAGGCCCAGUCUCAGGAGGAAAAUGUUCUCAGACUACUACUUCACCUCGCACAGCUAAACAGUUUCGGCCUAGGUGGAGGAACACAUCCAAAUGACUUGUCAGAAGAGACCCCCCCCACACAGGCCCCUCCCAUUACCAUGUGUCUGGUUUUUAUGGUUGUCACUGUUAAUCGUCCCACUGUGGUCCUCCCUCGUCUGUCUGUACAGUCACAGACAAAAUAAAUGGCGCCCGCGCACUUUAUUCUAAUAAU
rnacentral:lncRNA from 1 species